CUAGCCUAGCCACACUGCCCUCCCCCUUGCGUUUUUUAAUUAGCACAUCUCAGCAUUGCACUCAACUCUAACAUGCAUGAGCUGAAGGCUCCGAUUUGAUGCUGCGCUAUUCUACUGCUUCUCAUUGAAACAUCUCCAUUUGGGGCAAUGUGGAUGGCUCAUUCUAAAAUCUUUACAUUGCCAAAAAAGGAAAAAAAAAAUUGUGCAUGCCCGCUAGCAUGCCUGAGACACUAAUGAGAAAGGGGGGCCCAUCUCCAUUUCAGCAGAAGCAGGCUGGGCUGAAAGAGCUAGCGCUCUUUAUAUAGAGACACUUCAAAACACGUCGGAGGCCCGUAUGGAGUGAUGGUGCAAGAGGUGUGGGGGUUCCCCUCAGGGGGUCCGUCUGACCCAACAGAGCCACAAAGCAGCUCUCUCAGGCCCGGUCCAGCCUCCCUUUCAGGUCUGGGAUGGUGCCUAUUCCAGAGGAGUAUAGCAUAAAGAGGGCCUAGACGGAUCUGCAACACAAAGAGGAAUGUCUGGAGCAUGCAACCCAUGUCUAAUGUCAACAGUGCUCUGAGCUACAAAAUACAGACAAAGUUACCACUUUAAAACUUCAUUUUCCCAGAGGGCACAACAGCUGGGAGAUGUGACACACAUUUCGAAUCAUGUUUGAUUAAUAAAAGAUGGAAAUGGAGUGUAAUCCUGUUCAGUUUCCAAAUGGGCUGGGGAGUCAGAACAAAGGAGAUGACACCAAGGAGAGAUCACAUGGAUAAGGAGCAGGAAAAAGAAUGUGUGUGAAAGUUGACUGUGUACUUCCCGACCUAGAUACAACAUUUCAUCUAAAAAUAAAACCACUGGUAAAGAGCCUAAUGAAAAGAACAGACAAUGGUGACGAGAUGUGGAGGUGUGGGUGAGAGGCUGUUAGUAGAGUAAUAUGGUGUACUGUAUACUAGCUCCUUUAAUAUUAUAAUGCACAUUCAUGUUGCUUACUUGGUUAAAUGGAUUACAACGUGUUUAUAAUUCUGAAAUAAGACGCUAUACAGUCUCUGGGAUAUGAAGGCUUCUGUGACAUCUAUCAGUAACAAUAUCAGUGUAGUCAGUGUCAUGAUUACCAGCAGCGCAGGCAGGUCAAUCACACUGGCGCCAGUAAUGCCCUUUAUUAUGGCCUAUGGUGACUGGAUGGGACACGCAAAUACAGUUUCAAAUAGUUGCACACACAAAAAUUAUACAAACGGACAUAAAACACAGGCUCUAAAAUACAGGGACGUGGCUAAAAUAAGCCUUCACUUGUAGACAAAAACUCUUUGUGUUUUGGUAGUGACAUGAUUUUUUUAUUUAAAAAUAAAGGAAAUUAAAAGAUCUUAAAAACACUAAACAAACACAAGAAAAAAGGCAAGCAUUAUUUUCACAAAGUGUAAUUUAUGGGUUAGGGUUUGGGAUAGCCACCCCCCAACAGAAAGUACCAUGUAAAUAAUCAUUUCGUACAUAUUUAUUUAUUUAUUUACUAUCGUAUUACUACCUCUAUUAAGGUCUUGAAUUUAAAUAGAUCAUAGUACAAUUCUUGUAAAAAUCUAAGAUCUGAAAACUUCGUUGUUUAUUUAAAUUUUACAGUGCCACGGCAGUUUGACAAAUUCAGUAAAAUGGUCCACAUAACCUUCAUUGGACCCCUGAUAUUGCUACUUACACAAUUACUAUAGUACCUUUUAAGGCUCAUAUCCUACAUUUGUUUUUACAAUUAAUUUUAUUUAUGACAUUUUGUGUGCUUCUGAACCACAAAGAGAUAAUUCAUUUUUACCUGACCAUUUUCCAGCCGCUCUUUAUGCCUCAGAUUUGAAGUCAACUUGAAAUCAAACUAACCUUUUUUUUUUUUACCUUUUCACUGUCUCUGAUAAUAUUACAUACAAUUCAUAGUAUCAUCUAAUUUUCUGUAAUCUUUUGUCUCUGAAAUGUCUACUGAUUUCUGAUUAUGUUGCUGUGCACUAGGUACACUUUGUUUGUUGAGGUAUAACAAUGUAAAGGUGCUUAUGGUGCAUUUAUGUAUACAUACUGCAUAUUCACUUUCCCACAGGAAAUGUGCAUAUUUGUACUUAUACAUUUUAAAAGAGAAACAUAAAAGGAUGAAAAUCAGACUUAAAACAGGCUGAUAUGUGUAAAUCAUCUCUGUUUUCAGUGGCUGCCCUGUUUUGCACCUUAUUCAAAUAGAAGUCCAGGCUUAUAACUUCAGCAUGAGAUUACAUCUGUGAGAUACACAGAUUUUUGUGGCAUCACAACAAUAACUAAUUCGAGGUGGACUAUUUUUGUAGCUUAGUUUCCAAAUGUAGACCAUAUCAUCCCAAACAUUUUUAAAACCUAACAACGUUUACAUACUGCGUUAAACUCUUUCAUUUACAGAAUGUGAGGGUAAUUCAUUUUUUCAUUAUAGUUUUGUAUUGAUUUCAUGAUGUAAAAGAUGAAUUGAAGGUCUAUAAUUUGCCAAAACCCAUCUCACUAUGUUAGGAACUGUGCAAUGGCUUACCCCAUUCAAUUAAACUCUACACUAUUCCACUCUAUUUGUAUAGCAUCUUUUUUACAACGUUGUCACAAAGCCAGAAAUUCCAGAAAACCUGGUCCAGACCUUUAAUGACAAAGCUGAGGGCAGCAGUGGUAGAAAAAAAGGAUUCAAAAGGGCAACCCAUCCUUGUCUGAGCUGCACCACACAAUUCAAAUUCAAUUUCAUGAAUAAUAUAGGCAUUGCUAUAUACAACGUACCCACAAUCAAUGAACUGCAAUGUAUUAAUAUUGUAGCAUUCCACUACUAGCCACGCAAAGAGGCUUAUGGGAGGCCUGCGCACCCCAUAGAAUUGGCUUCUCUUAGUCCAAGGUAUAUGAAUGCGUUUAUUGUGAUAUUCUCUGUCAAGGGGUGGGUUUAGUAGUGCGGGUUUAAGAAGUGGGAGUGCAUGGCUAGUGGUGAUCUCCCUGCCAUUUUGUGUUUUGUUUGUGUCUUUCUGCUGGUGUUGUAAUAAAAGAGCAGUAUCUGCUGCA